GUUGUAAUCGUCUCUCUUGUAAUUUGUCCCACUCGUCUUCAUCCUGAAGGGCUUUUGGAGAGCACUCGGCCACACAUUAGCACACUUUACUCGCCAUCAUCAGCCCACCAUCUCACCCGCUUUCACUUUCAUUUUGCUCUUCUAGUGUGGACGUCUGCGUGGCUCAGGAGGGCCAGGCUGGCUAAUGAUGGUGCUAACCAGCAAAAGCAUGCGUCCUCUGACAUCGAUCGAACCUACGUACGUAGAUUCCACGAUGACGAAAUGACUCCUCCCACUGACCCUGCAAACCCUGAAUCAGCUUCUCUCUCCAUUAACUUCUCAUCACCAUUACCGCCAUUCCAUCAGCUCAGUUAUUAGUCAGUGUCCAAAUGAGGCAAUGCUGACAAUUUAUCCAGACUCCUAAACAGCCUGCGUUCCCGACAAGAAAGAAUGCAGCCGCAACAUCCAUCAUCACAAGCAUCAUCUUCAUC